rnacentral:tRNA from 1 species
CGGGGCGGUAGGUGGACGGGUCAGCCAUGGGUCUACCGUACCGAGUCGGCCGGACAUCCCGGGGUCCGGUUCACCGUUCGGGCGGCGGGUCCCGCC